CAAAUUUGGCUUAUACAAAACACAAUUCUACAUCCAAUUUUGCCGUGAAUAAAAAGAAAAUUGACAAAAUAAAACAUAUCCAAUUGUUCUAUUUCAUCAAAUUAUUUCACUUUCUUUUACAAACCAUACAUUUUGUACUCGUCAAAUUUGGUAUUGAAUAACUUUGUCAAUUUCUUAUUCAAUUUAUUGUUGAUGUAAAGUGGACAUUAGAAAUAUUAAUUUUUAACCAUAACCAUCUAGCAAACUACUAGUGGUACAGUGGUACUCGCACUGAAAAUGGCUCAGGCGCAACUCGAACUUGAAAUGGUAAUGGUACACGAAUUCGUUCCAAGAGGGUUACGUACCGGUAAUCGGAUCGAGAUCGAAAGAAAACCGUUCAAGGGCGAUUCUGCGCAUUAAAACAGUCCAAUCGAUUUCGUGGCGGUUCAAGGGAUCGUACAAAUGUGUCGUCUUGGAACGAACCUAUUAGGCAAUCCAAACCACGUGACCUCUGGUUGGCACACAAACUAACAAAGAGGUUAUGUUUGCAUCUAUUUUUCAAUGAUUUUUCAUUGUUUAUCGUCGUAUUUUGGAUUCAUUUAAAUUUCGUUUCCUGUUUUUGUGAACUUUAUAAACUUUACCACAAUGCAAACUGAUUAUUUAAGGAAAUUAUUAUUGGAAACUCCAGAUGUUGCGAGAAAGAUAUUUAUUGAAGCUGAAAAUAAUUGGGGAUUUAGAUCCAUACGCAAUUCAGUCAGAAUUGGAUUUUACAGUAAAGUGCAGUCCAUCAAGUUACUAUUAUAGAUAUUUAUACAUAUCUGGUGGAAUCUCGCAGUUGCUACUCUAAGCAGCAGAUGAAAGCACACAAAAGCCUUCAGGCACAUAAAUAUUUUACAGCUGGAUUUGUUUUGAAUGGAGUAAAAAUUGUUAAUGAUUUCCUGAUUUCCAUAUUAUUGUCGGAAAGGUGAAGCAUUUCCAAAAAACCUUGCUAAACGACUAAAUGCUUGGGUGGGGUGAUAGCCAGUUCUGAUGACAUAGCAAAUUUACAUUGUAUGCGUAUGGCCGGUAAUAGUGAAGUCUGCAGCCAUAUUGCAGCAAUCCUAUUUUUAGCUUAGUAUGCUCAGGGCAAGACAGACGAAGAAGAACCCAAUGUAUGUACAUAUGUUACAGCUACAUGGUUUGGAGAUAGCAACAUAUGCAUUCUCUGAUGAAAAACUAAUGAGUUUUGAAACUGUUCAGUCAGAGUGCUUGUUGCGCUCACUAAACGAAUUGAAAUAUAAGAUGGCUUUGGCAUUGUGUUGCAGCGAUAUGAAAAUGGUUAUUCAUUUUUAAUUAUAAUGUUCUUCUUCAUCAUGAGUAAUUAUGUAUUGGUCUUUUAAAUGUGUAUUUAUUUUUGUAAUUAGUAUCAACUUGUAAUGAUAAUAUACAUUUAUCGUUUAAGGUAUGACUAUGUUUUGACUCUAAAAUAAAUGUUUUAAAAAUCGAA